GUCAAACAUAAAAAAUCAAUAAAAAUUUUCAUUAUCGCUGGUGCUGCCUUAAAUUUUUAUGCUAGAAAUUCUUAAUAAAGCCUGCUUUGAAAUAACAAGUGGCUCAAAAAUAUAGCUGAGAAGUGGUUCAAUUGAGUUCGAUCAAAUCUAAAUUAACGAUCCGAAAGAAGCACUUAUCAAUCAUCGAAUACAAUUAAAAAUCUUUUUUGAUCGAAAGCUUCGUUACAAAUAUCGAUAACAGCAACCAUUGCGAUUGGAGGAAGUACAACAACUGACGGACCAAUACUAGUUACUAAGCACCGUAAAACAGCGUUGGCGGUAUAGAGAAAAGCCAGCGCAUAAAGUUUUCUUCUGAUCCCAGGUAUAUAAAAAAUCAACGAAAAUUAAUAAAUUAACUACAAUGGCACCUGUGCGGGGGGAUGGUAUGAGAGGCCUGGCAGUCUUUAUAUCGGAUAUAAGAAACUGUAAAAGCAAAGAAGCCGAAGUGAAGCGGAUAAAUAAAGAGCUUGCGAACAUACGUAGUAAAUUUAAAGGAGACAAAACCCUUGAUGGAUAUCAAAAGAAAAAA